rnacentral:rRNA from 1 species
UACGUAGGGGGCAAGCGUUGUCCGGAAUCAUUGGGCGUAAAGCGCGUGUAGGCGGCCCGGUAAGUCCGCUGUGAAAGUCGGGGGCUCAACCCUCGAAUGCCGGUGGAUACUGUCGGGCUCGAGUCCGGAAGAGGCGAGUGGAAUUCCUGGUGUAGCGGUGAAAUGCGCAGAUAUCAGGAGGAACACCAAUGGCGAAGGCAGUGUUCUGGGCCAGUACUGACGCUGAGGAGCGAAAGCGUGGGGAGCAAACAGG